rnacentral:rRNA from 1 species
UACGGAGGGAGCUAGCGUUGUUCGGAAUUACUGGGCGUAAAGGGCUCGUAGGCGGCCAACUAAGUCGGACGUGAAAUCCCUCAGCUUAACUGGGGAACUGCGUCCGAUACUGGAUGGCUUGGAUUUGGGAGAGGGAUGCGGAAUUCCAGGUGUAGCGGUGAAAUGUGUAGAUAUCUGGAGGAACACCGGUGGCGAAGGCGGCAUCCUGGACCAAUAUUGACGCUGAGGAGCGAAAGCCAGGGGAGCAAACGGG